UCAUAGCUGCCCUGGGCAGCCAAAGCCGUGACACCUUCAGAGGACAGACCCAUCCAGCAGAACAUGACUGCACCCCAUGGAAUGGACCCAUGCUGGAGCAGUUUGGGAAGAACUGCAGCCCAUGGGAAGGACCCACAUUGGAGAAGUUCAUGGAGGACUGUCUCCUGUGGAAAGGACCCCAUGCUGGAGCAGGCAAGAGUGAAGAGUCCUCGCCUAAGAAGGAAGGCAAGACAGUCAAUGUGUGAUGAACUGAUCACGACCUCCAUCCUCAUAUUUGCUCUGCCCAAUGUUUUUGAGAAUCUCGUAUUUGCUACCUUGGAAAACAUAAAACCCAAAUUGAAAUUCGUUGAAGAAGUUGUUUCAGACAUAUUUUACAUAUUAAAACAACUAUACUGAAGCAACACUCUCAGAUACAUUCUAUGAUUUUUGGGAUUGUCCUGUGCAGGGGCCAGGAUGUUUGGCUCAAUGAUUCUUUCAGGUCCUUUCCAACUCAGUAUAUUCUAUGAUUCUACAAUUGUGUUGAUUCCAUUUUCUAUAGCUGUCUAACCACAAAAGAGGAAGACAAGAGAUGCUUGGGAAAAAGUCUGACCAAAUAAAAUAUUUGAAACAUAA